UACGAAGGGGGCUAGCGUUGUUCGGAAUUACUGGGCGUAAAGCGCACGUAGGCGGAUUGUUAAGUUAGGGGUGAAAUCCCAGGGCUCAACCCUGGAACUGCCUUUAAUACUGGCAAUCUCGAGUCCGAGAGAGGUGAGUGGAAUUCCGAGUGUAGAGGUGAAAUUCGUAGAUAUUCGGAAGAACACCCGUGGCGAAGGCGGCUCUCUCGGGAGCGGUACUGACGCUGAGACGCGAAAGCGUGGGGAGCGAACAGG
rnacentral:rRNA from 1 species